GUAAACGGCGGCCGUAACUAUAACGGUCCUAAGGUAGCGAAAUUCCUUGUCGGGUAAGUUCCGACCCGCACGAAAGGCGUAACGAUUUGGGCACUGUCUCAACGAGAGACUCGGUGAAAUCAUAGUACCUGUGAAGAUGCAGGUUACCCGCGACAGGACGGAAAGACCCCGUGGAGCUUUACUGUAGCCUGAUAUUGAAAUUCGGCACAGCUUGUACAGGAUAGGUAGGAGCCUUUGAAACGUGAGCGCUAGCUUACGUGGAGGCGCUGGUGGG
rnacentral:rRNA from 1 species